rnacentral:tRNA from 2 species
GGAGGGGUUCCCGAGUGGCCAAAGGGAGCAGACUGUAAAUCUGCCGGCUCUGCCUUCGAAGGUUCGAAUCCUUCUCCCUCCACCA